UUUUUCGAGAGUUCGAUCCUGGCUCAGGAUGAACGCUGGCGGCGUGCCUAACACAUGCAAGUCGAGCGGACCUUAGAGAGUGAACAGCUUGCUGGGAUCUCUCGAAAGGUUAGCGGCGGACGGGUGAGUAACGCGUGGGUAACCUGCCUCAUACAGGGGGAUAGCAGUUGGAAACGACUGGUAAUACCGCAUAAGCGCAC
rnacentral:ncRNA from 1 species